ACGCUCGACACCUACGGGAGCAGCAGUCGGGAAUAUUGCGCAAUGGAGGAAACUCUGACGCAGUGACGCCGCGUGCAGGAAGAAGGUUUUCGGAUUGUAAACUGCUUUAGACAGGGAAGAACAAAUGACAGUACCUGUAGAAUAAGCUCCGGCUAACUACGUGCUAGCAGCCGCGGUAAUCUGAGCGGGCUGGCAAGGC
rnacentral:rRNA from 1 species